rnacentral:rRNA from 1 species
GAUGAACGCUGGCGGCGUGCCUAAUACGUGCAAGUCGAGCGAAGCGGGGACGGGUGAGUAACACGUGGAUAACCUCCUAUAAGACUGGGAUAACUUAGGGAAACAUGAGCUAUACCGGAUACGUACAGAAGGAUCCGCGACGCAGUAGCUAGGUGGUAAGGUAACGGCUUACCAAGGCAACGUUGCGGAGCCGACCUGAGAGGGUUAUCGGCCACACUGUAACUGAGACACUGUCAAGAUUCCUACGGGAGGCAGCAGUAGGGAAUCUUCCGCAAUGGGCGAAAGCCUGCCGGAGCAACGCCGCGUGAGUGAUGAAGGUCUUCGGAUCGUAAAGCUCUUUUAGUAGGGAGGCGGUACCUAAUCAGAAAGCCACGGCUAACUACGUGACAGCAGCCGCGGUAAUUC